CACGUAGGGUGCGAGCGUUUGUCCGGAAUUAUUGGGCGUAAAGGGCUCGUAGGCGGUUUGUCGCGUCGGGAGUGAAAACCAUGGGCUUAACUCAUGGCUUGCUUUCGAUACGGGCAGACUAGAGGUAUGCAGGGGAGAACGGAAUUCCUGGUGUAGCGGUGAAAUGCGCAGAUAUCAGGAGGAACACCGGUGGCGAAGGCGGGUCUCUGGGCCGUAACUGACGCUGAGGAGCGAAAGCAUGGGGAGCGAACAGG
rnacentral:rRNA from 1 species